GCCGGGCGUGGUGGCGCACUCCUGUAAUCCCAGCUACUCAGGAGGCUGAGGCAGGAGAAUCACUUGAACCCAGGAGAUGGAGGUUGCAGUGAGCCAAGAUCACACCACUGCACUCCAGCCUGGGUGACGGAGUGAGACUCUGUCUCAA
rnacentral:SRP_RNA from 1 species